rnacentral:lncRNA from 1 species
GCUGCCUAGUCAGUUCUGCGUCCGCUGAGGCUCGGUCACCGCCUCGCUGUCGUCGCGGCGCCCCCGCCCCGUCCUCUGUCCGUACCGCCCCCGGAGCCAGGGCCGAGUCCUCGCCAUGCCGGCCCGGCGGCUGCUGCUGCUGCUGACGCUGCUGCUGCCCGGCCUCGGGAUUUUUGGAAGUACCAGCACAGUGACGCUUCCUGAAACCUUGUUGUUUGUGUCAACGCUGGAUGGAAGUUUGCAUGCUGUCAGCAAGAGGACAGGCUCAAUCAAAUGGACUUUAAAAGAAGGUAAUUUGGAUUUGGUCCUUGGGCGACAUGGACAUUUGCUUAACUGGUUCCACAGAAACAUAUUCUGGAGAAAGAGAAAACAUUACUCAUUAUCUAAUAAAAUAAAUAAGAAAUAAAGAAGAAUGGGAUCAAGAGAGGAAAAGGCAUUCUGCUCAAAGGACGUUUAUAGCUUUGCUGUGGUUAUCCACUAAGUGCAUCAGUUAAAGAAGCACGUUUUAUCUUCUUUUUUGCUU